rnacentral:misc_RNA from 1 species
GAUGAAGAACGUAGUAAAAUGCGAUAAGUAGUGUGAAUUGCAGAAUUCAGUGAAUCAUCGAAUCUUUGAACGCACAUUGCGCCCUUUGGUAUUCCUUAGGGCAUGCCUGUUCGAGCGUCAUUUUCACCUUCAAGCGCAGCUUGGUGUUGGGCGUCUGUCCUGCUGUCGGCACGGACUCGCCUCAAAAUGAUUGGCAGCCACUUCAGCGGCUUUGAGCGCAGCAGAAUUGCGUCUCUGGCGGCGAAAAGUGGCAUCCAUAAGCACACCUUUUUAUUUUGACCUCGGAUCAGGUAGGGAUACCCGCUGAACUUAAGCAUAUCAAUAAGCGGAGGA